UACAGAGGUCUCAAGCGUUGUUCGGAUUCAUUGGGCGUAAAGGGUGCGUAGGCGGCCGUGCAAGUCUGGCGUGAAAGCCCCGGGCUCAGCCCGGGAAGUGCGCUCGAAACUGCGCGGCUCGAGUGCCGGAGGGGAGAGUGGAAUUCCUGGUGUAGCGGUGAAAUGCGUAGAUAUCAGGAGGAAUACCGGUGGCGAAAGCGACUCUCUGGACGGUAACUGACGCUGAGGCACGAAAGCGUGGGGAGCAAACAGG
rnacentral:rRNA from 1 species